CCUCACCAAACAGUCAUACAUUUCCUCACUCAUUAGUUCAUUUGACACCUUUAACUCUCUUCUUCCCCCUGCUGUGGCCAUCCUCCAAACUAACCUUACAGCCGAUAGCUUAGCAUGCUACUUUACUGACACGAGGAAAGAAUUCUCCCUUCCUUGCCAUUCUCUUCCUCAACCACACGUAGAUCAUGCCUUUCCAACCCUUCAGACAUUCUCCCAGGCUACUGAACAAGAGGUGGCUGGGCUUCUCCUU